GAUGAACGCUAGCGGCAGGCUUAAUACAUGCAAGUCGUGGGGCAGCAGGGUGUAGCAAUACAUUGCUGGCGACCGGCAAACGGGUGCGGAACACGUACACAACCUUCCUACAAGUGGGGCAUAGCCCAGAGAAAUUUGGAUUAAUACCCCGUAACAUAUAGAAAAGGCAUCUUUUUUAUAUUAUAGCUUCGGCGCCUGUUGAUGGGUGUGCGGCUGAUUAGAUAGUUGGCGAGGUAACGGCUCACCAAGUCUACGAUCAGUAGCUGAUGUGAGAGCAUGAUCAGCCACACGGGCACUGAGACACGGGCCCG
rnacentral:rRNA from 1 species